AUUAAUUGCGGGCAAGCAGUGGCGGUAAGACGGAGGGGGCAAGCGUGACUCGGAAUCACUGGGCGUAAAGGGCGCGUAGGCGGUUCAGUAAGUCAGGUGUGAAAUCCGAUGGGUCAACCAGAGAACGGCACUUGAAACUGCUAGACUAGAGUAUGGGAGGGGGAGAUGGAAUUAGUGGUGUAGGGGUAAAAUCCGUAGAUAUCACUAGGAAUAUCUAAAGCGAAGGCGAUCUCCUGGAACAUUACUGACGCUAAGGCGUGAAAGCGUGGGGAGCAAACAGGAUUAGAUACCCUGGUAGUC
rnacentral:rRNA from 1 species